GCAGAUCGAGUUUGGUUGGUGUUGGGCUUUCUUUCUUUUUUUGGUUCAUUGCGUGUUAUUGGCGUGGGUCAAGAAGCCCAUUAAUCUGGACGCGGUGGAUAGAAGAUGGCCUUCAUCAUUUACUCCACUGUUUCGACGCCUAGACCUUCCUUCAACGCUUCACGACGUAACCCUAAUCCUUCAGAUAACCACCCUGAUUUUCUCCGACAGCUUCUUUAUCUCCCUUGCGUACUCCUAAAUGUCCUCAUUCACCUUCCUGUCCCAUACAAAAAAAAAUAGGAAUACAUACACAAAAAGUAAUAGAUCAUUCUAUGAAGUACAAGAGUCAAACAUUUUGCGAGUUGUAGUAUGAACUUGAGUGGAGCGUAAAUCUCUCUCCAUGAUCAUGGGCCGAAGAGAAAGGAAAGGAGCUACAGAAUUUACCGCUCUGCCUUUGUUGGCCUUUUCUCAUUAGACAGAGGAACACUAGUUUAUCAGUUGAUGGAGUCAGGACUUGAUAUCAAUCUCUGCUCUGGAACUACCGUGGACAAGUUAGAUCUGUGGACAGGUAAGAGCUCGCUUGGUCCUUGACAUUUUCUUAUCGAUCAUCAAAGUACUCUGAGAUUAAUCUGAAUACAAGCUGUUCUAGAAACAGAUGACUAUGAUGCAAAGCAAGCUUGCCAAAAUGGUCUUUAGGAGGUCGUUUGAUUCUCAUUGUUUUGGUGCUAAUGUAAGCAUUUCAUAUACUUAUAUCCUCACAUAUUAACAUUUUGAUUGUAUUUGAUUGAUCGGGUUGAUAGAAUCACAUAUCAUAUUAGCUAAACAGUAGUACUGCUUUGUAUCUUG